rnacentral:lncRNA from 1 species
AUUAACAACAUGACAUAUCUGAGAGCGGGCUAGAGAUAUUUGCUUGAGGCAUAAGCCUGCUGAUCUUCUUACGAAAUCUAUACAAUGCCUGAACCAGCUUUUAUUUGGUAUCCUGGGCAAAUGUCAGAUAGGCUAGGGUCUGGCAUUAAUAUGCUUGCAGUCAGUGUUGUGUCCACCUGCAUCCCACGGAAUGAAGUUCUCUGUGUGCAGUGGUCCUGUACCUGUAACCCUGCAAUGCAAAACAUUACAGCCACUAGAGGUGCUUCUGCAGCUCUUACCACGAAAAUCUCAGUCACGUGACGUGGAAGCCACCAUAGGACGGCAUUGUUUUAUUCCUAUGGGGAAGCUUGGAUGCGUGCGCGGUGCUCAUCGUGCGUGCGCAAAGGGUUCCCAAUGCUAAUCUUCGAAGAGCAUUGGAUUGGAUAUCUGCGGAGAAAGCCAUGCCUCCACCGUGGCAUCAAAGGAGGCAGAGAGGUAAGCAGCACAGAGUGAUCCUCAGCAGUGGAAAAG